rnacentral:rRNA from 1 species
CCCUUAGAUGUUCUGGGCCGCACGCGCGCUACACUGACGGAGGCAGCGAGCAUGUCCUUCGCCGAGAGGUGUGGGGAAUCUUGUGAGUCUCCGUCGUGCUGGGGAUAGAUGGUUGCAAUUGUCGAUCUUGAACGAGGAAUUCCUAGUAAGCGCGAGUCAUCAGCUCGCGCUGAUUACGUCCCUGCCCUUUGUACACACCGCCCGUCGCUCCUACCGAUUUCGAGUGAUUCGGUGAACCUUUUGGACAGCGUCUGUCCUCGUGUCAGAUGCUGAAAGUCAAGUAAACCAUAUCACUUAGAGGAAGGAGAAGUCGUAACA